UGGUUGGUUCUGAGCAGGUUUUAAAAACAUUGACAGUCGUUUAGUGAUGUCACCUAAAUCCUUCCAAUCAUCUUCUUUUCCAGGGAAAUUCCGAGGAGUUCAGAUUCUUUCAUUCCUUCUGGUCCGAGGCAGCAUUGGUAUCAAGUGUUCCUAACAGGUGGGGGCAUUGGGGGUAUUGGUCAUACUGGUGUUGUUGGCGAGGACGAAGCUUGGGCAUCGGGCAGAAUGUUGCCACCUGCAUGAGUGGAACAGAGGAGCCUCAGUUCUGGUUCUCUUUCCUGAGACGACAACCACAGGAUGAGGCUUGAGAGGAGGUAAGAGUUUGAGAUGGAUGUGGUGUUGUGUUGAAAUGUGAUUGUCAAUUUGGAGCCAUUCUGUCCA
rnacentral:lncRNA from 1 species